GCUUGUAUAGUUUAAUUUAAAACAGUACUUUUGUAAAGUACAGAUGGCUGUUGGGCCUAUUCGCU
rnacentral:tRNA from 1 species